GCGUGGGUGAUGAAGGCCUUCGGGUUGUAAAGCCCUUUCGGCGGGGACGAUGAUGACGGUACCCGCAGAAGAAGCCCCGGCUAACUUCGUGCCAGCAGCCGCGGUAAUACGAAGGGGGCUAGCGUUGUUCGGAAUUACUGGGCGUAAAGGGCGCGUAGGCGGCUCUAUGCGUCGGGCGUGAAAGGCCUGGGCUUAACCCAGGAAUGGCGCCCGAUACGGUAGAGCUUGAGUGCGGGAGAGGAUGGUGGAAUUCCCAGUGUAGAGGUGAAAUUCGU
rnacentral:rRNA from 1 species